GGGGGCGAAACGGUUUCGACAGGGACAGAAAAAUCGGAAUGGCAUAGCAAGGGUGGUCGGACACCUUGUAAAUCCAUCCGGCAACUAAACUUAAACGCCAAUCCGACGUUUGCUUUUAGCUACAACUAGUAGCUACGUCUCCUUACUUUUGCUCUACGGAGUAAAAGAGGCGUGAGAAAGUAGAGCUAGGUUUGUUUCCAGGCAGACGGGAAACAAAGCGAAUACUUGAGAGCUGCUAGUCUUUCCUUCAUCCCGUCUACAGGAGGGAGGAAAGAUGAAUUCAAAAUGUAGACUAAAUAUGUAGAUGUUCCGAUGGUUUUGUCUCUGGACGAGGGUUCGAUUCCCUCCGCCUCCACCA
rnacentral:tmRNA from 1 species